CUCACCGCCUCUCUUUCCUCUUCACCUGCGCAGCCCCAACCCUCCUCUCCUCACUCUUUCUGCCUUCAAACCAUUCACACACAAAACAAAAGCAUUCACAUACAUGGAGGAGAGAUCUGAGAGGGGAGAUGCGUCGCCAGUAGGGUGUGGGCCGCCAUCACGCUGUCGUCGAGCUGGAGGGAGGAGCCGUCGCCGCCACGCCUCACCGUCGAAGCCCCACGUCGCUGCCGCUGCCGCUGGAGGAUGAAUGAUAAAUGAUGAAUGAAUUAUGUAUAUGGCUUAUAAAUUUGAAAUAUCUGAGAUACGAGGUUCCCUGAAUUAAGUGACGUGGCUUGCCACCACGUGUACCAGGUUGAAAACUCGAUACUCUGUUGACCCUACGACGUAAGUGUGUGACCGGGCACUAUAUAAAUUCCCGGGAAUGUUACCCCCAUUGAGUAACAUUGAUUAUUUGAGAAAAAGCUAUGCAUAGACUCUUGGGGAUGCACGUCGGGGGACAGUCUAAGUACAAUUCAGACUUGUCGGGUUGGCUGGAUAAAAAUGGGUGUGAGACCAGAGUAUGAACGUUAAGCACGUUAUUUUAACCCUAGCUUGUUUUAUAACCUUUCGCCGUCUUACUUUACCAUCACAUGUUUAAAUCAUGUCUUCUUUUAUAUCAAGCCUGCUUUGUAAUUUCUGCCUUGCAAUUACACUCCUAUCCUUAUAUUUUUAUGCUAUAUGAUAAUCCAAGUAUUUGAAGCUAUAUAUAUAUAUGCGUGCUGAGGUUCUUUACUUCUCCAUAAAGUGUUAAAACUAUGUAAUACUUUUUAUAAUACGCUAAUUUUCGACAACGAAAAUUUUUAUAAGGUGGGUGGAAUGUAAGUCCCAGAAUUUUUGAAAGUUUUAUUAUAAAUUAAUUUCAAGUUUAAUUAUUUAUUUAUAGCUUUAAUUUCAGAAAUUUCUUUAUUAAAGAUAAUUAAAGUAAGUUUUGAUUAAUUGAGUUUGAAAUAAAUUAAGAUUUUUAUUCAAUUUUAUAAUUAUUGAAGUAUUUUCUAUAUUUAAAUUAUAAAGUUUAGUAAUUGUAAAAUAAUAAGAAUUUUAUAUGAUUUGAUUUAAAUAAUGGAGAUUUCGGAAUUUAAUACUUUCAAUUUUUACAAACAAAGAAAAUUAAUUAUAUUAUCUCUAAUCCUUUAAUUAGAAUAUUUCAUUGAAAUUAAUUUGUAAAUUUAUGAUUAAAUAAUAUUUUUUUAAAGAUAAUUUUUUUGAAUUAAAAUUGAUUUUCAAUUACUCUGCUACCCCUAAUUUUAGUAAAAUGACUAAACUGCUCUUAACCCUAAUUCUAUCCUCACCGCCUCUCUUUCCUCUUCACCUGUGUAGCCCCAAACCCUCCUUUCCUCACUCUUUCUGUCUUCCAACCGUUUUACACACAAAACAAAUGUAUUCACAUACAUGGAGGAGAGAUCUGAGAGGGAAAAUGUGUAACCGGUAGGGUGUGGGCCGCCGUCACGCCGUCGUCAAGCUGGAGGGAGGAGCCAUCGCCGCCACGCCUCACCGUCGAAGCCCCACGUUCUUGCCACUGCCGCUGGAGGAUCUUCGCCGCCGUUCUCGUGCCUCAUCGUCAUCGUUUACCUUCCAUCCAGCCCAAACCGCUGCACAAGGGAGCCAAGGAAGAGGUCGCCGCUACUGCGCCACGCGUCGCCGAUGACCUGCCUCGAAGCCGCCGUCGCGGAUCAGAUCUAAGGCGAGGAAGAGAGACA
rnacentral:lncRNA from 1 species